GUUGAGAUGGCAUAGUCCGGACACUGCAUUAGAUCUAAGCCCUUUUCACAGAGGUUCAAAUCCUCUUCUCAACU
rnacentral:tRNA from 1 species